GCUGUGGAUAGCGGAGAAAUUCCAAUCGAACUCGGAGAUAGCUGGUUCUCCCCGAAAUAGCUUUAGGGCUAGCGUCGUGUAAUUGAGUAAUGGAGGUAGAGCACUGAAUGGGCUAGGGGCUAUAGUAGUUACCGAACCCUAUCAAACUCCGAAUGCCAUAUACUUGUAUCACGGCAGUCAGACUGCGAAUGAUAAGAUCCGUAGUCAAAAGGGAAACAGCCCAGACCAUCAGCUAAGGUCCCAAAGUGUAAGGUAAGUGGAAAAGGAUGUGGGAUUUCUAAGACAACUAGGAUGUUGGCUUAGAAGCAGCCACUCAUUUAAAGAGUGCGUAAUAGCUCACUAGUCAAGAGAUCCUGCGCCGAAGAUGUCCGGGGCUCAAACUUACCACCGAAGCUAGGGGUGUACACUAUGUGUACGCGGUAGGGGAGCUUUCUGUAUGGGUUGAAGUCGUACCGUAAGGAGUGGUGGACUGUACAGAAGUGAGAAUGCUGGCAUAAGUAGCGAGAAAUAAGUGAGAAUCUUAUUGGCCGAAAACCUAAGGUUUCCUGGGGAAGGCUCGUCCGCCCAGGGUUAGUCGGGACCUAAGCCGAGGCCGAAAGGCGUAGGUGAUGGACAAUCGGUUG
rnacentral:ncRNA from 1 species